UCAAACUGGAUCUUGUACUGGUUCCAGUGCCUCCUCAGCACAGCCUGCACCUGUGCCCCCAGACAAAGCAAAAUGCAUGUAAACCACGGCUCAGGGGCUUUGUUAUUUGUCUCUUUGUUCUUUGUCUCAGCAAACGGGGCAGCAAGGCUCAGAAAUCCUGGGCAAGGAUGUAGCCAUGAUAUUUUAUGUAAAAUCCUCUGCUAGGAUUUUUCCCGUCCUGAGGAGCUGGGAGCCUCAGGAAAGAAAUGUAAACAAUAACUAUCUGCUGCUGUGGAAUGCAACAGGUGCAUCUUCCAUUGGUCCAUGUGGAUUGUUUUCAAUUGAUAGCCAAUCGCGGCCAUCUGUGCCGGGGUUGUGAGCAGUCACAGGAUUUUGUUAUGCAUUCUAUUCUGUUCUAUUCUUGUCCUUUGUAGCCUUCUAAUAAUCUUCUCUCUCUGUUCAUUUAGUAUACUUUUAAUGUAGUAUUUUAAUAUAUAACAUAAUAAAUCAGCCUUCUGAGGAAAAUGGAGUCAAGCUGCGUGUCCUCACACAUGGGAGGAUUACCACAAGACAAGGAUACCUACCUACCUGCCAUUCAGCACCUGAGGCGUUCUGAAUUGAUCACCACUUAGUGAACAAUACAGGUCAAAUGGAAGUGCUGGAAAAAUAAAUCCUCGGCCAUCUCUAACUCAGCUCUGACCCUCCACCCUCAGCACGGCGAGACUUCUCUGAAAACAAACAUUCAUUCCUGAAUAAACAUCUUCGAGAGGAAACAGGAAUUCUCCCAGUGUAAUCAAGGAGGAGGGACUGCUUCUCAUUCAAGUUUUUCAGUGAACUCCUGGGUUGCUUCAGAGACCGCAUGGAGUGAAGCCUCUGCUGCAGAUUCCCCACACCUGCCUGUCUCCAGUUAAUGGCCAGAGAGAUGGAGUGCAGCUGACUGACCCUUGGGAAUGACCAGCUGGGGGAGAAAAUCCCCCACUUACACACAUGCCACUGAGAGAAAUCAGAAACAUUCAAAAGGGCAGCAGGAGACUUGUCUAAACUUGUCACCCAAGGGGGAAAAAAAAAAAAUAAAUCAAGUUUUCUGGCAUCUUCAAAUAUCAU